AUUCAAGGAUAAAGGGAGUUGUGUUAUGGUUUUCACUUUGAUGAUCUUUUUAAUCAAGAUUAUUUAAACAGAAUCAAUUCUCAAAAGGAUUUGGAUUUUCAUUGUUUAACUUGUAUCGAUAUAUCAUCAAUCAGAAAAAGGCCAAAAAUGAAAGGGGUAAAAGAUUCAAACAUGGAUUCCAUGAUAACCUUGUAAACCUUCAUGUGAUCAGAUUUUUAAAAUGAGGUCAUAAUUAUGUUAAUGAUCAAUAUUCUAUUUCUUUUUACAGGUUUGCUGAUUCAUAAUCAUGAUUGUUUUGAUUUUCCAGGGAAAAACAUGGAAAAGAAGAAAAAAAAAGUGACAAAGCAAAUUUUCCGAUGGCCUUUUCUCUUGUAUUGUAAUUGGAACAUUGAAAGAAAUCAAAGGUAAAUCAAGGGAAAUACAAGUCUAUUUGACUCUGAUUGAUUGAAUAAAGUGGAAAUAGAGAGAAGAAGCAAAAAAACGACAGAGUGGUCACUUCGACUGGCAGAAAACUGAUGACCAGAAGCAGUUUCAACAAGACAAUUUGUGAUUUCAAACUUGGAGUUAACUCUUAACCCAAUAACAUGAUUGUAUCUUCAACUAUUUGGUUAACCUGAUCAAAAGCAUUUGUAAUCAUAAUAACAAGCAAGCAAGAGAAUCAAUGUCAUUUCAAGAUGACAAAAACAACGAAAUACCAAUAAUACAAGAUGAAAAGACGAAGGAGUAACAAUAUCAAUUACUUAUAAAGGAGAGAGAGAGAGUAUAAAAAGUUCAGUGUUAAUACUUGGUAACUGAAUCUUCACCACGAUUAACACUCUCAUUGAUCAAAUUAUCCAUGGGUUUACAUGGGAGGAAAAAGGUGAAAAAUUAAUACCAAUUAAUCAGCUCAUGGUGAAACAAGGGAGCCAAUGGAAUCAUUUUCAAGGAGAGAAAAAGUUGACUUGUAACAUUAAUGGCGGGAAAAGUAGAUUAAUGUCAAACAAGUGAGAGCAAGUCAAGGAGAUGAAGGAGGAAAUGUAAUAAUAAAAAGCAAUAGAGAAACAAAAUUACCAAUAACAAUGUCAAGUAUUAAAAAAAAGAUGAUGAUUAUUUGGAGCUACAAUCUGAAUGGUAUUUAUAUAUAAAGGAAAACAAGGACAAGUGAAAAUAAAGUACUGGACAAAUGGAUGGACAAUGGUCAUUGAAAAUGAGGAUGAAUAAACGCAAAGGAAGAUGCAGAUGAUAAGGAUGAUAAGGAUGGAUAAAAGGAAGGAGGAGAUAAAAAAAACUCCAAGACAUUGAACUGGGACAUGGAAAAAGAUUCAUCUUUAAGUGACAUACAGAUAAUUGUUUGUGUUAUAUGCAGAGAGAGAGAGAGAGACUGAGGGUUUACACUUGAUUGAAGAAAAUUCUAAUGAAAGAAGGAAAAAGUCUAUUCCAUUGGAGGAAAUAUUGAGAGAAGAAGCGGACGAAAAGUUAUGGUAAGAAAUGGAGAUGGAGACGAGCGAAUUUCUAUCUUUCUGGUUACGAAGAUUCAGUCAAAAGCAUGAGAACGAAUCAUUGGAAUGAAUUUACCAUGAGAACUCAAGGGAACUCUAGUCAAUAUGAAUACACAGAGAAACAUUUGAUUCUUUCUUAUUUUUUACUCAUCCCUCUUUCUCCUUCUCCUUCUCCAUCAUCCACAAACCCUCAAGGUUUCCCAUGCUCUCUCUCUCUUCCUCUCCCUCUCUUACAAACAUUUACAUGAAAAUUCAAAAGAAGAUCAAAAAGAAAAGAAUGAUGAAGAAACGAGGGCAAUGAUGAUAAACAAUUGGAGAAAAAAAGCAAGAGAAUCGGAUCGAUGUGAAUCGAGAUUUUUCCCUUCGAAUUUCAUUUACAGCUGAUAUAUUAUAUGUUGAUGUUAUCGAUCAAGCUAAAAGUGUAUAUUAUCAUAUAUCAACAUGAAGAAGAAACUGUUUUGCCGAGAAAACUGUUAUUCGAUAAAUGCAAAGGUGAAGGUGGUAAAACUAAAAGGACAAAAGAUAUUGUUUGUGAUGAUAUUAAUAAUAAUAGAAAGAAUUGUGAAAGUAAAAUAUUGAAACAAAAUCCCCGAAGAAAAUAAUAAUAGUAAGUGUAUUUAUUUUGAUUCUAUCCUGAAAAAAGUACAUUGGAGACUAACUAACACUGAGACUUUGAUAUUAACCUCGAGAAAAGGUAACAUUCAAUGAGACGAAAAGAGUAAUGAUCAAUUUUCCUCUUCGCCCUUCUAACUGUAUCUUAAUUGUAACCAUUUUUUUCUCAUGUAUCUUAAUUUACUAUUGUUGACCUUAAUUAACUCUAAUUAGUGUUGAUUGUUUUCCUUCAUCUUUUCUCAUUAUCGUAAAAAUCGUUGGUAUAUAUUAUUGAGUAGACAAGGAGAGUAGAGGAAUAAAAUUGAAAGAGAUUGAAUCGGCGUUAAUGAUUCCCAAAGAAAACUCAUUAUAUUCAUUAACCAUUGAAUUAGAUUGUUGGAAACUUUGGUGAUAAUCAGAAUAUCUUCAUUAUCAUUGUUAUCAAAUGAACAUUGAAACAAUAGGAGCUUUUCCCUUGCCUUUACAAUGAACGUAAUUAUUAUCAUGUGGGCUCAAGAAAAGAUUGAUUUUCAAUUAUCGUCAACACUUAUUAUACAUAUCGUUGCUACGGAAUAGGAAAUAAUAACAACAACGACAAAAGGAUGAAGGAUAAAAGAUGAAGAUGAACAUGUAGUGUAUAUGUUGUAAUAAAUCAAUCAAUGGAAGAUGUCAAUUGAGAUGAAUAAACGUUGAAAUUGAAUAUAUAACAAUUUUAACUCUCACAUUAAAUGAUCAUCACAAUAACCAAACUUUAACAACUACACUCCAACUAACAACUUUAAUAAAGUGUAAACUUGAUGUUGUUAUAUUGGCUGUUUAUUGAUUCAUGGUUUGGUGUUUGACAACAACCAGGGAAACAGAUUAACUGAAUGAUGAUGAAAUUGAAAUGAUGAACAAGAUGAAUAUAAACAAACAAAUAACAUGAAUGAUAAUGGCGAUAUAAAUAUUACCACGGAAAAGAUUAAGGUCAAAACUUGAACCUGACAGAAAAUUAAACUUUAAAUUAAUUGUGAUUUUCUUAUAUUUACUCAGUGGAGAGGAAGUAAAGGAUGAAAAGGUGAUGAUGAUGGAGAUGAUGAUGAUGAUGAUGAUAAAGGAGAAAGUGGAAAAUGAUGAUGAUGAUGAAAAAGAUUAUAAAUAUUAUAAGGAAAGAAAAAAGUUCCAAGGUUGAUUGAGAUUCUCUCAGGAUAAAAAACAAGAGUUAAUUUGGAUGAUGGGAAAUUUGAACAAUCCAAGUGAACAAUCAAUUGAUGCAAA